rnacentral:rRNA from 1 species
GAAGUAACAGGCCUAACCGUAAGGAGGGAUGUUCCGAUGGUGUGAUUAGCGAUUGGGGUGAAGUCGUAACAAGGUAUCCGUACGGGAACGUGCGGAUGGAUCACCUCCUUU